GAUGAAGAACGCAGCGAAAUGCGAUAAGUAAUGUGAAUUGCAGAAUUCAGUGAAUCAUCGAAUCUUUGAACGCAUCUUGCGCUCCUUGGUAUUCUGAGGAGCAUGCCUGUUUGAGUGUCAUUAAAUUCUCAACUACACUGACUUUGAAUUGGUGUGGCUUGGAUUUGGGGGGAAAAUUGUUGUGGGCUUUUUGUAUAGUCUGCUCCCCUGAAAUUGAUUAGCGGUACCUUUGUGGAACUGUCUACAGGUGUGAUAAUUAUCUACAUCUUAGACAUCUGCUGGAAUGCUGCUUUCUAAACCUUACCUGUAUUGACAAUCUUGACCUCAAAUCAGGUAGGACUACCCGCUGAACUUAAGCAUAUCAAUAAGCGGAGGA
rnacentral:misc_RNA from 1 species